rnacentral:miRNA from 1 species
UGUGUGUGUGUGUGUGUGUGUGUGUGUACAUACAUACACACACAAAUACUGCACAUAUA